rnacentral:rRNA from 1 species
AUUGAACGCUGGCGGCAGGCCUAACACAUGCAAGUCGAGCGAGGGACGGACGGGUGAGGACUGGCUGGGAAACUGCUUGAUGGAGGGGGAGCACGGCAGGAAGCGCUAGCAAAUCACGCAUACAAUCAGAUCUGCGCAGGUGGGAUUAGCUGGUAGGUGGGGUAACUGCUCACCUAGGCGACGAUCCCUAGCUGGUCUGAGAGUUUGAUCAGCCACACGGGAAGUGGGACAAGGGCCAGACUCCUACGGGAGGCAGCAGUGGGGAAUAUUGGACAAUGGGCGAAAGCCUGAUGCAGUAAUGCAGCGUGUGUGAAGAAGGUCUUCGGGUUGUAAAGCACUUUCAGUGGGGAGGCGUUACCCGCAGAAGAAGCACCGGCUAACUCCGUGCCAGCCGCCGCGGUAAUAC